rnacentral:sRNA from 1 species
CUUUCCAGUGGACCUGGGCUAUUGUUGCGGUUGUUUUCCUUCUCUCCGUGCAACGCUGGCAAGUCUCAAAGUCGCCACAGAUGCUGAAGUACUCUUUCCCAGUGGGACUAAGAACCAGCAGAACAGAUAUACUUUCUCUCCAGAUGUCUCUCCAGCAGAACUUUUCCCCAUUUCCAAGGCCUUGGCUUUCUUCAUCAUUUCCAGUGUAUAUGAGCAAGACACAGUGCUAUCAUACAUCCCCCUGCAGCUUUAAAAAGAAGCAGAAGCAAGCACUUCCAGCCAGGCCACCAAGCACCAUCACUUACCUAACUGACAGCCCAAAGCCAGCAUUAUAUGUAACUCUGGCAGGACUAAUCCCCUUCAUUGCUCCACCACUGGUCAUGCUGAUGACAAAAACUUAUAUUCCCAUAUUAGCUUUUACUCAGAUGGCUUAUGGAGCCAGUUUCCUAUCUUUCUUGGGUGGGAUCAGAUGGGGUUUUGCUCUACCAGAAGGUAGUCCAGCCAAACCAGACUACCUUAAUUUAGCUAGCAGUACAGCUCCUCUUUUCUUUUCAUGGUUUGCCUUCCUUAUUUCUGAAAGACUUAGUGAAGCCAUAGUCACAGUAAUAAUGGGUAUGGGGGUAGCAUUCCACCUUGAACUUUUUCUCUUACCACAUUAUCCCAACUGGUUUAAAGCCCUGAGGAUAGCAGUCACUUUAUUGGCCACUUUUUCAUUUAUAAUC